rnacentral:rRNA from 1 species
UGGGGGAUUUUGCACAAUGGGCGCAAGCCUGAUGCAGCGACGCCGCGUGAGGGAUGAAGGCCUUCGGGUUGUAAACCUCUUUCGCUGGGUUGAAAGGCCAUGCUUUGGGUGUGGUUGAUUUGAACUGGUAAAGAAGUACCGGCUAACUACGUGCCAGCAGCCGCGGUAAUACGUAGGGUACUAUCGUUGUCCGGAUUUAUUGGGCGUAAAGGGCUUGUAGGUGGUUUUUCGCGUCUGUCGUGAAAUCCUGUGGCUUAACCAUGGGCUUGCGGUGGAUACGUGAAGGGUGGAGUGCGGUAAGGGAGAGUUGAAUUCCUGGUGUAGCCGUGGAAUGCGAAGAUAACAGGAGGAACGCCGGUGGAGAAGGCGGGUCUCUGGGCCGUUACUGACACUGAGGAGCGAAAGCGUGGGGAGCGAACAGG